AGGGAUCGUUACCGAGUUGCAAAACUCCCAAACCCAUUUUGAACCAAUACCACUUUUGCUUCGGCGGACACGCCCCGGGCGCACCUCCUCUCGGGGGCGUGCCCCGGAACCAGGCGCCCGCCGGGGGACCGAAACCUCUGUAUUUACCAUUUGAGUACUCUGCGUGUGAUUUACAAAAUCAAAAUUAAAACUUUCAACAACGGAUCUCUUGGCUCUAGCAUCGAUGAAGAACGCAGCGCAAUGCGAUAAGUAAUGCGAAUUGCAGAAUUCAGUGAAUCAUCGAAUCUUUGAACGCACAUUGCGCCCGCCAGUAUUCUGGCGGGCAUGCCUGUCUGAGCGUCGUUUCGACCCUCGCGCCCGGCUUCGGUCGGGGGCGGUGUUGGGGAUCGGCCACACGCUUCAGUGGGAGGCCGGCCCCUAAAUUCAGUGGCGACCGCGCUGUAGCCUCCCCUGCGUAGUACUAAAACCACCUUGCAGGCGGAGAGCGGUGCGGCCCGCCGUAAAACCCCCCAACUUUUACAAGGUCGACC
rnacentral:sRNA from 1 species